rnacentral:rRNA from 1 species
UGUGGUUUAAUUCGAUGCAACGCGAAAAACCUUACCCACCUUUGACAUGUACGGAAUCCUUUAGAGAUAGAGGAGUGCUCGAAAGAGAGCCGUAACACAGGUGCUGCAUGGCUGUCGUCAGCUCGUGUCGUGAGAUGUUGGGUUAAGUCCCGCAACGAGCGCAACCCUUGUCAUUAGUUGCUACAUUCAGUUGGGCACUCUAAUGAGACUGCCGGUGACAAACCGGAGGAAGGUGGGGAUGACGUCAAGUCCUCAUGGCCCUUAUAGGUGGGGCUACACACGUCAUACAAUGGCUGGUACAGAGGGUUGCCAACCCGCGAGGGGGAGCCAAUCCCAUAAAGCCAGUCGUAGUCCGGAUCGCAGUCUGCAACUCGACUGC